rnacentral:rRNA from 1 species
UGUACACGCUGUGACUAGCAUAUCAAUAAGCGGAGGAAAAGAAACUAACAAGGAUUCCCUUAGUAACGGCGAGUGAAGCGGGAAGAGCUCAAAUUUGAAAUCUUCAAGGUUCUACCUUGACGAAUUGUAGUUUAAAGAAGUGUUUUCUGUUGAAGUUUAGGUAUAAAGUUCUUUGGAAUAGGACAUCAUAGAGGGUGAGAAUCCCGUAUUUGACCAUUAUUUUCAGCUUUGUGAUACACUUUCGAAGAGUCGGAUUGUUUGGGAAUGCAGUCCAAAAUGGGUGGUAAAUUUCAUCUAAAGCUAAAUAUUGGCGAGAGACCGAUAGCGAACAAGUACCGUGAGGGAAAGAUGAAAAGAACUUUGAAAGAGAGUUAAACAGUACGUGAAAUUGUCAAAAGGGAAGCGUUUGACACCAGUGUUGUUUUCUCGAAAAUCAAUUAAAAGUGGCUCGAUUUUGUAUUGUUGAGACCUUAAAAGCUCACUGUACAUUUUUCGUGUCUUUUUUAAUGCACUUUUCGUUUAACAAGUCAACAUCAGUUUCUUUUGUUGUAAAAGGGUCAUUGGAAGGUGGCUUUCUUUUCGGAGAAAGUGUUUAUAGCCUUUGGCCUCUGCAAUCGAAGAGACUGAGGUCUGCAGCGUAGACUCUUCGGGGUUAGAUACAUUUGUGCUAAGUUAUAGCUUUUUAUAGACAACUUGUUGACUAUAAUUAGUCUUGUAGCUUACUCGCUUAUGCUAUUUUACCUACGCUUAGGAUGUUGAUCUACAGAGCGAGAGU